GGAUAAUGAAAAUGGGAGUUUUCUUAGACAACGGAAAAUGGAAAACCAAAAACUGUUUUCUACAAGUAAAUGGGCCUCAAUAUUUUUCAUUUGCUAGAAGUAGAACCGAAUGGGAGGGGACCAGAAAUGCAAGACUGACCCCCUUCUAUAGAACUUUGUUUGGUUUCAUUUUCUUUCCACAUGCUAUUUGAAAAUGCUGGGGAAUGCUAUUAAAAGGUUAGGCAGUGACGAAAAUAGUUGCUGUCAUCUUUUGUACUUAUAGCUUGAACUAGUUGGAUAUGUUGCUUUUAAGGUGUUUGCACCAAAAAUAAUUACUUCUUGCUCAUUAAUUAUUUUUGGCAUCAAGCUGUUUGUCAGCCAAUUUCUUUCCACAAGGUUUUAGCUCCUGAAAACUUGGUGUAAUUGGUGUUGUUGAACUCAAUGGCUGAUGUUUAUUUUUUUAGUUCCCGUAAGAUAUCUGAGCCUUCUGAGGCCAUUUAUCGCUGUUUCUAAGACAAUUUUUCAUUUUCCAAGGCUUGCCAUCUGUUAUGCUUUU
rnacentral:misc_RNA from 1 species